rnacentral:rRNA from 1 species
UACGUAGGGCGCAAGCAUUGUCCGGAAUUAUUGGGCGUAAAGAGCUCGUAGGCGGCUUGUCACGUCGGGUGUGAAAGCCCGGGGCUUAACCCCGGGUCUGCAUUCGAUACGGGCAGGCUGGAGUUCGGUAGGGGAGAUCGGAAUUCCUGGUGUAGCGGUGAAAUGCGCAGAUAUCAGGAGGAACACCGGUGGCGAGGGCGGAUCUCUGGGCCGAUACUGACGCUGAGGAGCGAAAGCGUGGGGAGCGAACAGG